rnacentral:rRNA from 1 species
GAUGAACGCUGGCGGCGUGCCUAAUACAUGCAAGUCGAGCGAGCAGACGAGGAGCUUGCUCCCCUGACUUUAUCGGCGGACGGGUGAGUAACACGUGGAUAACCUACCUAUAAGACUGGGAUAACUUUGGGAAACCGUAGCUAAUACCGGAUAAUAUAUUGAACUUCAUGGUUCAAUAGUUAAAGACGCUUUUGCUGUCACUUAUAGAUGGAUCCGCCCCGAAUUAGCUAGUUGGUAAGGUAACUGCUUACCAAGGCAACGAUGCGUAGCCGACCUGAAAGGGUGAUCGGCCAGACUGGAACUGAGACACGGUACAGACUCCUACGGGGGGAAGCAGUAGGGAAUCUUCCGCGAUGGACCAAUGCCUGACGGUGCAACGUCGCGUGAAUGAUGAAGGUCUUCUGAUCGUAAAACUCUGUUAUUAGGGAAGAACAAAUGUGUAAGUAACUAUGCACGUCUUGACGGUACCUAAUCAGAAAGCCACGGCUAACUACGUG